rnacentral:rRNA from 1 species
AGUCGAACGAAGCACAGAUGUAGAAUUUCUUCGGAAAGGAAGCGCCUGUGACUGAGUGGCGGACGGGUGAGUAACGCGUGGGCAACCUGCCCCAUACCGGGGGACAACAGCUGGAAACGGCUGCUAAUACCGCAUACGUUUUCGGUGCCGCAUGGCGCCGAAAAGAAAACUCCGGUGGUAUGGGAUGGGCCCGCGUCUGAUUAGCUAGUUGGGAGGGUAACGGCCUACCAAGGCGACGAUCAGUAGCCGGCCUGAGAGGGCGACCGGCCACAUUGGGACUGAGACACGGCCCAGACUCCUGCGGGAGGCAGCAGUGGGGAAUAUUGCACAAUGGGGGGAACCCUGAUGCAGCGACGCCGCGUGAGCGAAGAAGUACCUCGGUAUGUAAAGCUCUAUCAGCAGGGAAGAAAGUGACAGUACCUGACUAAGAAGCCCCGGCUAACUACGUGCCAGCAGCCGCGGUAAUACGUAGGGGGCAAGCGUUAUCCGGAUUCACUGGGCGUAAAGGGAGCGCAGGCGGCGCGGCAAGUCUGAUGUGAAAGCCCGGGGCUCAACCCCGGGUCUGCAUUGGAAACUGUCGAGCUGGAGUGUCGGAGGGGUAAGCGGAAUUCCUAGUGUAGCGGUGAAAUGCGUAGAUAUUAGAAGGAACACCAGUGGCGAAGGCGGCUUACUGGACGAUGACUGACGCUGAGGCUCGAAAGCGUGGGG